rnacentral:misc_RNA from 1 species
CAACUUCCACCUGGCUUACCUCCNUCAGUUAUGCGUCAUGACUUGUAUCGUCAUGAGCGUAUUGUGGGUUUCCUGUGUUGCAUACCUAAUAAUGGAAUCGUUUUGGUUGAUUGAAGUCCCUUUUCAUCACGUGUUGCCUUUGCGACGCAUGAUGAACCUCGAAGCGGUCUCUAUGUUCCACCACGUUGAUGCUAGUGUCUUUAUGUUGUGGCCCAUUGAGUGUUGCUUGGUUUCGUGGAUACAGAACAUGAUUUGGGCAUAGGGUCACCUGUGACUCUUGUUUUGUCCUUUAUCAGUGUUCUCAAUAACGACGGUUCAUGCGCGCCUAGGCUCGUACCUGCGCGAUGUUCUUUGUCGAAGAGGAAUGCUACCUGGUUGAUCCUGCCAGUAGUCAUAUGCUUGUCUCAAAGAUUAAGCCAUGCAUGUGUAAGU